GGAGAGGUGGCUGAGUGGUCGAAAGCGGCGGUCUUGAAAACCGUUGAGCCGAAAGGUUCCCAGAGUUCGAAUCUCUGCCUCUCCGCCA
rnacentral:tRNA from 1 species